rnacentral:tRNA from 1 species
AGGUAGUUUAAGUAAAACAAAGGCCUCAUAAUCCUCCUAUGGGGCCCCCCCCCCU